UACGAAGGGGGCUAGCGUUGCUCGGAAUCACUGGGCGUAAAGGGCGCGUAGGCGGCCAUUCAAGUCAGAGGUGAAAGCCCAAGGCUCAACCUUGGAACUGCCUUUGAUACUGUUUGGCUUGAGACCGGUAGAGGUAAGUGGAACUGCGAGUGUAGAGGUGAAAAUUCGUAGAUAUUCGCAAGAACACCAGUGGCGAAGGCGGCUUACUGGACCGGUUCUGACGCUGAGGCGCGAAAGCGUGGGGAGCAAACAGG
rnacentral:rRNA from 1 species